GACGAACGCUGGCGGCGUGCUUAACACAUGCAAGUCGAACGAUGAAGCUGGAGCUUGCUCCGGUGGAUUAGUGGCGAACGGGUGAGUAACACGUGAGCAAUCUGCCCUUGACUCUGGGAUAACUGCGGGAAACUGUAGCUAAUACCGGAUACGAGACUUGGAGGCAUCUCCAGGUCUGGAAAGAAUUUCGGUCAAGGAUGAGCUCGCGGCCUAUCAGCUAGUUGGUGAGGUAAUGGCUCACCAAGGCGACGACGGGUAGCCGGCCUGAGAGGGUGACCGGCCACACUGGGACUGAGACACGGCCCAGACUCCUACGGGAGGCAGCAGUGGGGAAUAUUGCACAAUGGGCGAAAGCCUGAUGCAGCAACGCCGCGUGAGGGAUGAAGGCCUUCGGGUUGUAAACCUCUUUUAGCAGGGAAGAAGCGAAAGUGACGGUACCUGCAGAAAAAGCACCGGCUAACUACGUGCCAGCAGCCGCCGCCG
rnacentral:rRNA from 1 species